UUGCGGCUACAUCACGUUGACACACCGUUUUCCUACGAUCACCGAAGUCAAGCAACUUCCCGCUUGACCAGUACCUAGAUGGCUGAUCGCUUGGGAAUACCAGAUGCUGUAAG